rnacentral:rRNA from 1 species
UGAACGCUAGCUACAGGCUUAACACAUGCAAGUCGAGGGGAAACGACAUCGAAAGCUUGCUUUUGAUGGGCGUCGACCGGCGCACGGGUGAGUAACGCGUAUCCAACCUGCCCAUCACUUGGGAAUAACCUUGCGAAAGUAAGACUAAUACCCAAUGACAUCCCACGAAGACAUCUGAAUGGGAUUAAAGAUUUAUCGGUGAUGGAUGGGGAUGCGUCUGAUUAGCUUGUUGGCGGGGUAACGGCCCACCAAGGCAACGAUCAGUAGGGGUUCUGAGAGGAAGGUCCCCCACAUUGGAACUGAGACACGGUCCAAACUCCUACGGGAGGCAGCAGUGAGGAAUAUUGGUCAAUGGGCGAGAGCCUGAACCAGCCAAGUAGCGUGCAGGAUGACGGCCCUAUGGGUUGUAAACUGCUUUUAUAAGGGAAUAAAGUGGGUCUCGUGAGACUUUUUGCAUGUACCUUAUGAAUAAGGACCGGCUAAUUCCGUG